rnacentral:rRNA from 1 species
AAGGAUCAUUGUCAAAACCUGCACAGCAGAGCGACCCGCGAACGAGUGAAAGCACCGUCCGCGGUCGCAACCCUCAGAAUCCGAUACUCGAACGACUCUCGGCAACGGAUAUCUCGGCUCUUGCAUCGAUGAAGAACGUAGCGAAAUGCGAUACUUGGUGUGAAUUGCAGAAUCCCGUGAACCAUCGAGUCUUUGAACGCAAGUUGCGCCCGAGGCCACUAGGUCGAGGGCACGUCUGCCUGGGCGUCACACACAGCGUCGCACCCCGCCNACCACGUUGUUGGGGAGCGGAAAUUGGCCCCCCGGGCCCUUUNGGGCACGGUCGGCACAAAUGUUGGUCCCCGACGGCUAGCGUCGCGGUCAGCGGUGGUUGUACUACUCACCCCCGAAGACAUCAAGACNNGNUGCUCCGCUGCACGACGGGACAACGACCCUACGGAACCGCAUCACGCGGCAUCCACCCUGCGACCCCAGGUCAGGCGGGACUACCCGCUGAGUUUAA